rnacentral:hammerhead_ribozyme from 1 species
AUCCAGCUGACGAGUCCCAACUAAGACGAAAUGCACGUCAUAGAU